AUGGAAGACACGACCAACGAGGUGGUCCAUACGCUUGAAUAUCAGCUAUUGCACGCUUGCCAUUAUGAAGAGACAAUGAUGGCUGAGAGCUUCUUGAAGAUGCCCUCAGGCCCAAAUUUUGAUCAUGUACAAUGGAACUUUCCCAGAUUGGUCAUGGAUCUCAAGGAUCCAGAUGAUCUGCAUUGCCUAACACUCAUGAAAACCUGUGCUCAUAAGAACAUCUUGCAACUGAAGACGGUUAAUGUAGAGGGUGCUCAUCUUGUAGUUUGGACCGAGCCAUACACAGGCAGGUUGAUUGAUUUACUCAGGAAAAUGAAAUCAAAUCUUGGCAAUCCCAUAUGUCCUCCUCCAUGGGUGGUUCCUUCAGAUGUACUGCAAAUAAUUGUGGACCAAGUACUUGAUGGCAUGGGACAAUUGAGACUCGAUGGCAAGUACCAUGGAAACUUUUCACUCGAAAACACGUAUUAUCACAUGGAAUCAGGGAAGCCAAUAGUCAAGCUUGCCAAUUUUAGAGUGAAAAAAGAAGCAAAAUUGCGGCAAUGCCAGUUAGAAGAUGUUUGGGAUAUUGCUCGUGCUCUUGAUGAGAUUUGCGUUAUCGCUGAAGAGUGUACUAGGACAGGACGGGUACCUUUGGACUGUUAUCUUGUUGCUGAUCUUUCAAAGAAGCUGAAAGAAGUUUCAUUAGGGGACUUGGUUACUGUUAUGAAAGACAUCAAGAAACAUAGCUUCUUUUGGGGCUCCUAUCAGAGGAAAAGGUUUUUCGUAUGUGAUCUGCCUUUCGCCUUAAGGAGCUCAGAUUUCAAGAAGGAUGUUGAAGCUUCGUCAACUCUCUGUACUAUACCAUGGGAUACUGAUCCAUAUUCUGGGCUCCUUCAAGACAUGAAUCAGUACCGCGCACUCCAUAAGAAGCACGCAUACGAUGGAUCUAAGAAGACGGGAUUUUGUUCGUUCUGCAGCGGGUUAUACAGCCAUGAGUUUGAGCUUCCUGUCGUUCAGAAUAGACGUGUUUGCGUUGACAAGGUCCUUCAACAAAGACAUAGAAAAGCCUGUUUUGAGAUGGUGGGUAUGAUGCCCGACAGAGAGACCAAGUAUAUGCUAUCCAAAAAAGAGGCUGCAUGA
rnacentral:rRNA from 1 species